AUUGAACGCUGGCGGCAUGCUUUACACAUGCAAGUCGAACGGUAACAGGCCGCAAGGUGCUGACGAGUGGCGAACGGGUGAGUAAUGCAUCGGAACGCGCCCAGUCGUGGGGGAUAACGCAGCGAAAGCUGCGCUAAUACCGCAUACGAUCUAUGGAUGAAAGCGGGGGACCGUAAGGCCUCGCGCGAUUGGAGCGGCCGAUGUCAGAUUAGGUAGUUGGUGGGGUAAAGGCUCACCAAGCCAACGAUCUGUAGCUGGUCUGAGAGGACGACCGGCCACACUGGGACUGAGACACGGCCCAGACUCGUACGGGAGGCAGCAGUGGGUAAUUUUGGACAAUGGGCGCAAGCCUGAUCCAGCAAUGCCGCGUGCAGGAAGAAGGCCUUCGGGUUGUAAACUGCUUUUGUACGGAACGAAACGGUCCUGGUUAAUACCUGGGGCUAAUGACGGUACCGUAAGAAUAAGCACCGGCUAACUACGUGCCAGCCGCCGCCGUAACAC
rnacentral:rRNA from 1 species